GUGUACCACGCGUACUCUCCGGUUCUUAGCGUGCCGUCCGCACACAUCUGACCGCCGCUCGCGACGCUGUGUUGGCC
rnacentral:sRNA from 1 species